rnacentral:rRNA from 1 species
ACGGCUCAGUAACACGUGGCUAACCCACCCUGAGACGGAGAAAACCCCGGGAAACUGGGGUUAAUCUCCGAUAAGAGAAGACCCCUGGAAUGGGUCUUCUCUCAAAGGGCGCCUAGACCAUGCUUCUAGGCGUUGCUCAAGGACGGGGCCGCGGCCGAUCAGGUUGUUGGUGAGGCAACGGCUCACCAAGCCUAUAACCGGUACGGGCCGUGAGAGCGGGAGCCCGGAGAUGGGCACUGAGACAAGGGCCCAGGCCCUACGGGGCGCAGCAGUUGCGAAAACUCCGCAAUGCACGAAAGUGUGACGGGGCUACCCCGAGUGCCGUCCGCUGAAGGCGGCUUUUCCCCGGUGUAAGGAGCCGGGGGAAUAAGGAGAGGGCAAGUCUGGUGUCAGCCGCCGCGGUAAUACCAGCUCUCCGAGUGGUAGGGAUGAUUAUUGGGCUUAAAGCGUCCGUAGCCGGCCCGGCAAGUCUUCCGUUAAAUCCAACGAUUCAAUCGUUGGACUGCAGGAGAUACUGUUGGGCUAGGGGGCGGGAGAGGCCGACGGUAUUCUCGGGGUAGGGGUAAAAUCCUAUAAUCCCGGGAGGACCACCAGUGGCGAAGGCGGUCGGCUAGAACGCGCUCGACGGUGAGGGACGAAAGCUGGGGGAGCGAACCGGAUUAGAUACCCGGGUAGUCCCAGCUGUAAACGAUGCGGGCUAGGUGUUGGGGCGGCUACGGGCCGCUUCAGUGCCGCAGGGAAACCAUUAAGCCCGCCGCCUGGGGAGUACGGCCGCAAGGCUGAAACUUAAAGGAAUUGGCGGGGGA